AUACGGAGGGUGCAAGCGUUAUUCGGAAUCACUGGGCGUAAAGGACGCGUAGGCGGGUUGGCAAGUCAGAUGUGAAAUCCUACAGCUUAACUGUAGAACUGCAUUUGAAACUGCUAACCUAGAGUAUGGGAGGGGGAGAUGGAAUUAGUGGUGUAGGGGUAAAAUCCGUAGAUCUCACUAGGAAUACCGAAAGCGAAGGCGAUCUCCUGGAACAUAACUGACGCUAAGGCGUGAAAGCGUGGGGAGCAAACAGGAUUAGAAACCCUAGUAGUCC
rnacentral:rRNA from 1 species